rnacentral:sRNA from 1 species
AAAUUUUUAAAGGUUCAAUUCUUUAAAUUAAAGAACUGGAGUAAAUCGGAUAACACUUUUAAUUUUGGAUGCCUGAUAAAUCAAGCUUCCUUCUCUUCUUAUUCACAAUCAUUUUGGUCUUAUUUAUAUUUUGACUCUGAACUAUUGCCCAAUUUUUUAAGCAAUGUGUGACCUUGUACACUUAUUUUUUUCUUCAUCAAUUGAGUAAUAUAUGACCGUUUUUAAAAUUUUGAAUUGCAUAUACUGAAGAUUUGUUGCUGGAUUGACGACUACGAGAAGUUGUUGAGCCGCCAUUGAAGAGUCUCUGAGAAAGUUGAAGAGAGAGAGAGUUCGAGAGAGAGAGAGAGUUUGGGAAUCAGUCUUGUGUAUUUUAUUUUGUGUAGAUCAAGUUUAUCAUAAUUGUGUUUAUGAAAUCUUGAAAAAUAUCGAAUGAAUAAUAUUAUUUAAGAAUUACAUCAUAUGCAGAAAAAACUAAU